AAUGAACGUUGGCGGCGUGGAUUAGGCAUGCAAGUCGAGCGAGAAUCGGUGAGUGGAGGCUUCGGCCAAAGCGAUCCGAGGAAAGCGGCAAACGGGGUAGUAAGGCGUAGGUCACGUACCCUCAGGACGGGGAUAGCCGUGGGAAACUGCGGGUAAUACCCGAUAAUCUCUCCGGAGCAAAUGGUGCGAUUCCGCCUGUGGAGCGGCUUACGUGGUACUAGGUUGUUGGUGAGGUAACGGCUCACCAAGCCUGAGAUGCCUAGGGGGUGUGAGAGCAUGGCCCCCACACCGGAACUGAGACACUGUCCGGACACCUACGGGUGGCUGCAGUCGAGAAUCUUCCGCAAUGGGCGCAAGCCUGACGGAGCGACGCCGCGUGCGGGAUGAAGGCCUUCGGGUUGUAAACCGCUGUCAGAGGGGAGAGAUCGCAAGGGGCUAUCCCUGAGUUGACCGAGCCUCAGAGGAAGCCCGGGCUAAGUACGUGCCAGCGCCGCGGUAA
rnacentral:rRNA from 1 species